rnacentral:rRNA from 2 species
CUAUUGGGGUUCGAUUAAGACAUGCGAGUCGUGAGGGUUCGGCCCUCGGCAGACUGCUCAGUAACACGUGGAUAACCUGCCCUCAGGUGGAGGAUAAUCUCGGGAAACUGAGAAUAAUACUCCAUAGGCCAUUGAUGCUGGAAUGCGCUCUGGCCGAAAGCUCCGGCGCCUGAGGAUGGGUCUGCGGCCUAUCAGGUUGUAGUUGGGGUAACGGCCCAACUAGCCAGCAACGGGUACGGGCCUUGAGAGAGGGAGCCCGGAGAUGGACUCUGAGACACUAGUCCAGGCCCUACGGGGCGCAGCAGUCGCGAAAACUUCACACUGCGGGAACCCGUGAUGAGGGAACCCCAAGUGCCUGGGCAUUAGCUCAGGCUGUUCACCUGUCUAAAAAACAGGUGAAGUAAGGGCUGGGUAAGACCGGUGCCAGCCGCCGCGGUAAUACCGGCAGCCCAAGUGGUGACCCUUUUUAUUGAGCCUAAAACGUCCGUAGCCGGUCCGGCAAAUCUCUGGGCAAAUCGGGCAGCUUAACUGUUCGACUUCCAGAGAGACUACCGGACUAGGGACCGGGAGAGGUCAGAGGUACGUCGGGGGGUAGGGGUAAAAUCCUUUAAUCCUCGACGGACCACCGGUGGCGAAGGCGUCUGACUAGAACGGAUCCGACGGUAAGGGACGAAGGCUAGGGGCGCAAACCGGAUUAGAUACCCGGG